rnacentral:rRNA from 1 species
AUUGAACGCUGGCGGCAGGCUUAACACAUGCAAGUCGAGCGGGGUGAUGGUGCUUGCACUAUCACUUAGCGGCGGACGGGUGAGUAAUGCUUAGGAAUCUGCCUAUUAGUGGGGGACAACAUCUCGAAAGGGAUGCUAAUACCGCAUACGUCCUACGGGUGAAAGCAGGGGAUCACUUGUGACCUUGCGCUAAUAGAUGAGCCUAAGUCGGAUUAGCUAGUUGGUGGGGUAAAGGCCUACCAAGGCGACGAUCUGUAGCGGGUCUGAGAGGAUGAGCCGCCACACUGGGACUAAGACACGGCCCAGACUCCUACGGGAGGCAGCAGUGGGGAAUAUUGGACAAUGGGGGGAACCCUGAUCCAGCCAUGCCGCAUGUGUGAAGAAGGCCUUAUGGUAGUAAAGCACUUUAAGCGAGGAGGAGGCUCUUUUGGUUAAUACCCAAGAUGAGUGGACGUUACUCGCAGAAUAAGCACCGGCUAACUCUGUGCCAGCCGCCGCCGUAA